AACGCGAAGAACCUUACCUAGACUUGACAUUAGCCUGCAUUACCCUUAAUCGGGGAAGCCCCUUCGGGAGCAGGAAGACAGGUGGUGCAUGGUUGUCGUCAGCUCGUGUCGUGAGAUGUUGGGUUAAGUCCCGCAACGAGCGCAACCCCUAUUGUUAGUUGCUACCAUUAAGUUGAGCACUCUAGCAAGACUGCCGUGGUUAACGCGGAGGAAGGUGGGGAUGACGUCAAAUCAUCAUGCCCCUUAUGUCUAGGGCUACACACGUGCUACAAUGGCGAGUACAAAAAGAAGCAAAACCGCGAGGUGGAGCAAAACUUUUAAAACUCGUCUCAGUUCGGAUUGUAGGCUGAAACUCGCCUACAUGAAGCCGGAGUUGCUAGUAAUCGCGAAUCAGAAUGUCGCGGUGAAUACGUUCCCGGG
rnacentral:rRNA from 1 species